AUUGAACGCUGGCGGCAGGCUUAACACAUGCAAGUCGAGCGGGGGAAGGUAGCUUGCUACCGGACCUAGCGGCGGACGGGUGAGUAAUGCUUAGGAAUCUGCCUAUUAGUGGGGGACAACAUCUCGAAAGGGAUGCUAAUACCGCAUACGUCCUACGGGAGAAAGCAGGGGAUCUUCGGACCUUGCGCUAAUAGAUGAGCCUAAGUCGGAUUAGCUAGUUGGUGGGGUAAAGGCCUACCAAGGCGACGAUCUGUAGCGGGUCUGAGAGGAUGAUCCGCGACACAGGGACUGAGACACGGCCCAGACUCCUACGGGAGGCAGCAGUGGGGAAUAUUGGACAAUGGAGGGAACCCUGAUCCAGCCAUGCCGCGUGUGUGAAGAAGGCCUUAUGGUUGUAAAGCACUUGAAGCGAGGAGGAGGCUACUUUAGUUAAUACCUAGAGAUAGUGGACGUUACUCGCAGAAUAAGCACCGGCUAACUCUGUUCAGCAGCCGCCGCAGUAA
rnacentral:rRNA from 1 species